rnacentral:rRNA from 1 species
CAAUAGCGUAUAUUAAAGUUGCUGCAGUUAAAAAGCUCGUAGUCGGAUUUCAGGGUCUUCUGGCUGGUCUGCCGAAAGGUAUGCACUGGUCGGUAGACCCUUCCUUCUGAAGACUGCGUCUGUUCUUAAUUGGAUGGGCGUAGGAUUCAGAUCGUUUACUUUGAAAAAAUUAGAGUGUUUAAAGCAGGCCACUGCCGUGAAUACUUCAGCAUGGAAUAAUAGAAUAGGACUUUGGUUUUAUUUUGUUGGUUUCUAGGACCAAAGUAAUGAUUAAUAGGGACAGUUGGGGGCAUCAGUAUUUAAUUGCUAGAGGUGAAAUUCUCAGAUUUAUGAAAGACUAACUUCUGCGAAAGCAUUUGCCAAGGAUGUUUUCAUUGA